GUCAGUAGACACAUUCCAGCCAAUCAGCAGCAGACCCUCCCUCCCAGAUCCUCCCACCUCUUGGACAGCAUCCAUUGUGAAGCUGCAUUCUUAGUGAGCUGUCCAGGAGGUGGGAGGGUCUUGGAGGGAGGGAUGCUGGUGAUUGGCUGGAAUGUGUCUUCUG